rnacentral:lncRNA from 1 species
UUUUUUCUUUGUUCUAUGAGCAAAUAUUAGAAAAUGUACCUUAAAUUACCUGGCUGAGAAAAAAGAUAGCCCUGGCUGCUCCCUAAUGUUAAAUAGUACUCAGCUCUUGAUUCUGUGUCUGUAGGGCAUUUCUAAAGGAUCAAGGGGUUUUGGAGUUUCCACUAGAGACAUUAACCAGAGGGAUAUUAGGCUCCUGGUCAGUUUGAAUAUUUGUUAAAAAAAAAAAAAUCUGACCUGGGUACUGAAUCUGUCUUCAUUUUAAUAGCUGCAGUGAAUUGUGUGCCCAUUUUGUAAUGAUGCCAUACUUAAUACCGUGUAUUUGUGCUCACAGAGGUGAUAAGUUAUGGGCUGACCCCUUCAAAAUCUCUUUUAGUUCUACCUCAGCCCUAUGAAAGUAUUUUCUGUUGAGUCCUGUUGAGGUGGUGGUAGUAAUGGUAUGUUCUGUGAUCAUAAAUAUAGUUGGGAGACUUCUUAAAUAAAAACCAAAUGUUUUUCUAGCAAUAAAUCUUCCUGGGAUUCACUUACUAUUUCAUGGGUAACUGAUUUUUUUCUCUUGUUGGAUAGAGGUGUUUUUGCUUUUGUGGAAAUAUUUUAAAACUCCAGAGGCAGUAGAAUAAUGGAGUACCAUCUUGUUUCAUGGGCAGCAAACAUUUAUGUGGGACUAUUCACUCCAGUGUUAUCUAAUGAAGGCAGUUUUGCUCUUUUGCAAAUAAAAGAAAAUUUUAGUUGUGAACUUUGGAGAUGCAGCCCUUUUAAGAGAAAACAGUUCUUUUUAACAUUGGAGACAACCAGAUGCUUUCUAUUCUAGAUCUCUUCAGAGUAUUUUAUUCUCUAGAUCAGAGAUUAAAAACUGGCAUCCUACUUGUUAGACUCUGAAUACAUGUUGUCUUUGCUUUUUUUUUUCUUUUCUUGAGUUAGACCCUGAGAUAACCCCGGUGUGCAUUAUAAGAGUGACAAAUGUGAACGAAGAUUUAUUUUUGGUUAGUGUACAAAGUAACAGGUUUCAUUAAUUCACUUUCAUACAUAUAUUGCAGUUUGUUCUUAUCCCACUUCCCUACUGCCCUUCUUUAUGCUCCCUGCCCUUUUCUUACCGGUCCCACCCUUCCCCUAAAGUCUCCCAUUUCUGCUUUCUCCCCUGUUCCUUUCUUCUCCAGUCUCUUACAGAAAGAUCUCUCUCUCCCCUGCCACACACACCCUACAAUAUACAUACAAGGUAAAAUGUGGUUAUUUGAGUCUUGUUUAUUUCUCCAAACAUAAUAGUUUUCAGUUGUAGCCAUUUUAUUGCAAAUGCCAUGAUUUUACUUUUCUUUGUGGUUGAAUAAAAUUUCAUUGUGUAUAAGGAGUACAUUUUCUUUAUACAUUCAUCUAUCAGUGGCUGGUUCCAUUUCCUGGCUAUUUUUAGUAGUGCACAAUAAACAUGGAUGUUCAAGUACCUUUGUAGUAUGUGACUUAGAGUCCUUUGAGUGUACAUCCAGUAUAUAGGCCACAUGAUAGUUCUAUUUUAGGCCCCCCCCCCUUUUUCUUUCUUGGAACUGCCACACUGUAGUAUAAGUGGCUGCACCAGACUACAGUCUCACCAGCAGGAGUUUCUCCCCAGAUCCUCCUUCGAGCUUGUACUUUGUUUCUCUGAUGGCUAAGAAUAGUCACUAUUUUUUCAGAUAUUCACGGGUCAUUUGUAUUUGAGAACUGUCUAAUCAGUUUACUGGGUAUGAGGGUGAGUGUACAUCCUAGGCCAGGGUGCUGGGGAUGCCUCAUUUGAAGGCAGGAAUUCCAGGUGCUGCUCGACAUGACUUUAUAAGAGGAAAGGAAGUUUAAUUUGACUACUGGGCUACCGGACCUCCUUAGUGGGUGAAUGUGAGCGCACAGGGUGAUGUGCCGCCAGGGCAGGUGGGGAGAGCAAUUGUAUUCCUACCAAUCUCAGGACAAGAUUUUCAGGGCUUGGACAUGCCUUGACCCCACUCUUGCUCCAGGCCUCCCACCCCCUCAUGGCUCCCUGGCCCUAAACCAGUUACAGGAGUGGGACUAGGCUUGGGCUGUUCUUCAGAAGGGUUCUUCAUACUUGAGUGCUCUCUACCAGGGAUCCCUCUUUGUCUUACUUUAUUUGCCUUUAUUGCCUUGCCUAUGUAUAUUUUCACUUGGCUUUUUGGGACCCUGUGACUGUGUUCUGUGGGAAAUCUGCAGCAUGGAAGGAAGAAACCUUGAGUGUAUACAGUCUUCACUUACCUUCAUGUUUCCUCUUACUGCUUCUAUAUGGGUAAGCUCCUUUAGACAGCAACAUACUUGUCCUCAAGUUUGUGAGAGCCACACUAAUCAACUUUUUUCAUUGGUGCCAAGGUGGGAACCAGUUGCUUUUUUGUUUUGUUUUUUCCUUCCACUUUAUCUUGGAAACUUGAUUUUUGCGACCACCUGUUGAACCCUGAACUUUUGAUCUUACCUGUUCUACCUACUAAGUGCUAGGAUUUUAGGUAUAUCUGACUGAACUUGUAACAUUAAAGAGACUUCAGCUAGUUAUAGUGCUGUUAAAUUUCCUGAGUGUAAGUGAGGUCUCUUUAUUUUACUUGGAACCUUCCAUGCCACUACGUCCUGGUCCUGUGUCCUGGCUUAGUGUAGGACUUAAAACGGACAAACUUAGUAGACUUUGAUUUUGUUUAAGUUGACCAUGAUUUGCUAUUCCUAAUAUUUGUAAACUGGCUGUGCAUAGUAAGGGAGGUGGGUCUGAUGCCAUUACUUCUCAUUAAAAUAAAACCUGUUUUACUUAGGAGUUACCUGAUUCUUUUUCUUGUGGCUGCAAUUAGCAGCCACUCCUGUGUGUGAAAAAUAGGCCUCUUCUGAGCAAGAAACUUCUGGAUGUUAUUGUACCAUGGUCAUUGUAGGAUGUAGAGUGCCUGAGAGGAUGCCAGUAAGUGUGCAACUCAAAAGGUAUUCAAACUAAGCUCUUGUGAUGCUAUUUUCUCAGAUGGAGGCACAUGCGUGCAUGUGGCAAAUAUGUAAAAUCUCAAUACACUCGAAGUGUCAGUGCACUUGAUUUCUUUUGCAUUUAAGAACUGGCUGUCUUAAAAUUCUUUCUUGAGGGGGUGUUGGGGUUUGGUUUAUUUUGUAUUGUUUUGUUUUUUGAAACAGGCUCUCUACAUAUCCCUGGCUGUGCUAGAACUUACUGUGUUGAUCAGGCUGGCCUUGAACUCACAGAGAUCCAUUUGUUGGGUGUUGGGAUUAACGGCAUACCCCACCAUGCCCAGCCACAGUUUGCUCUUAAUAUUACAUAGAAAGGAAUUUGUGUGUAUGUUGCUGAAGAUCUAACUUAAGGCCUGAUUGUGCUAGGCAAGUACUUGACCACUAAACCAAACCCUACCAUGUUUCUAAGUUGUAUGGAAUGGUUAAUAAAUUGGCAUGCAUUUUAAAAAUGAGUGUGUUUGUACACUUCUAUAUUUGGGGGGGGGGUGCAAGCAUGCAAUAGGGGCAGUGAAAACAGUGUCUUUUACUGUGUACAGAGAGGCUUGGCAACAGACACCUGGUUACUAAGCUGUCACCUGCCCAAGAGACGGAUGUGGUGUUUGUUUGUUUAAGGUUAAAUGAGAAAAUGUCAAAGAAUGAAAAGAAUGAAAAGCCUUUUGACCUUCCAGUGGAUCUAAUGUUACUAGAUCUUGACAACUAUUAGAACAGUAGGAAAAAUUUUUUUAAAAGUGAUGUUCUAUGAGUUGUCUCUUAAAUUUAAAAUUUAAAGGAUGGCUCUAGCUUUGAACUCAUAGAGAUCUACCACCAGCCUCUGCUUCCUGAGUGCUGAGAUUAAAGGUGUUUUAUACCACACUGCCUGGAAAUCUAAAGUGUUAAGAAGUAUGACUUAAUUUUGAAUGUUGGCAGCUAACCUGGGAUUUUGUUAGCCAGAUUUGUGUGGAUUGAUACAUGUGAGUGACCUAUGAAGUACACUAUUGUCUGGAAAUGACAUGGCUAAAUAGGUAAUGGGGUCAGAAAUGGUAGGCUGUUAUUGGAGCCCUUAGCCAGAGGCCUGGCUCUGGGUUUGGCACUUGUUUCCAUAAAGAGAAAAAUGAUAUAAAAUAUAUACAAGAAAAACUUACUUAUGGUUUUGGCCCAAAACCAGAGACAAAGCCAUACUCAAUAUGUCUCUGUUUUCUCCAUUGAAGUGUUAAAAUUUAU